AGGUUCUGUCCUGGCUUGGAGGCUGGGAGCAAGCCUCUCGUGUGCUGACGUGGGUUCCUGCUGGCACGGCACGCAGCUCCUCGGCACCUGGGUUUGCAGUCAAGGUGGGAGGAUGCAGCAAGGCCAUCUGGGGGCACCUGCCCCCCAGGACAUCUGCUGUUGCCGCUGGGACCCUGGGAAACGGAGCCAGCCAAGAUGUCAGAUGACCGCGGGCUGCUUCCUGAGACCUCACCUGUGUCGUCUUUUCUGACCAUGUUCAGCAAGAUGGAUGGGGGAGUAAAGCCACUGUCUGUCUACACAGCUUGGCUAGGGCAGUCAGCUCCACUUCUUGCCCAUCUACAAAAUCUUACAGAAGAUGCUCAUGAGCUCAGGAACAAAGUGGCUGCUCGGUGGAGGGUCAUGCAUGAACCCAGUAUGUGCUCGGGACGUGCUUUUAGUGCAGUGACUCCUACAUGUGCCUGCCUGAGUUGGGGGAUCUUUCCCUGAUGGCACCUUCUUCUGAGAGAUUCUCCAGAUGGCCACAAAGCCUGAUGUCCUACAGCAUUUGGAUUGUGUCUCUCAUUGACCUACGUCAGAUCCUGGGAACCACUUGUUUUCAUGCUGCUUCAUGAAAUCCGGACAUUGUGUGGAGGAAUAGAAGAAGCACAUGGGAAUAGAGAGAGUCAUAAAUGAAAUCACAGCCUCCUGAAAAGAGACCCCACCAUACGCAUGAUGAUAUGUGUUUAGGGAAGCACAAUCAGUAACAUAUAAAUCUUACUUGAUGCUAGUGGUUGUAUGAUUUGAAUUUAUGUGAGAGUUUGAGUCAAGACUAUUCUGCUUAGGGGCGCCUGGGUGGCUCAGUCAUUAA